rnacentral:lncRNA from 1 species
GGCGCGUGCGUGCGGGGCGGGCGGCGCUGGGCGCGUGUGUGGCGUGUGUGUGCGGGUGAGUGCGUGUGUGGCGUGUGUGUUGUGUUUUCUUUUUUUUUGAGUGAAAUGCAGAUUCGCCAAGUGCCAGAUCGGCGGCACUUGGCGAAAAAGUCUUCGCCAAGUGCCAGAUCGUCGGCACUCGGCGAAUGGAGCGCGUGGGGCCGGCGUUCAUUUUAAACGAACGAAAACUUCGCCAAGUGCCACGUGGCUGGCACUUGGCGAAGAGGGUGUCUAUGGCGGCCUUUUGCAUGGAAGCCCUCUUCGCCAAGUGCCACGUUGCUGGCACUUGGCGAAGACCUCUUCGCCAAGUGCCAACCCUAGCACUUGGCGAAGUCAAAAAAUUUUUUUUGAGUUUUGCUCCCAAAUUUUUUGUGGAGGUUUAGUACCAUAUAUUUAGUAACUUGUCAACGUUUGGUGCAUUUUGAAGUUUUUUUUCUAUAUUUUUUCAUUUAGUUGCGACUCGUUGCAUUUUUUCCGACGAAUUCGAUUUGAACUGUAGGUGCAUGCAAUAAUAGUGUCCUAUGGUUACAACAUUGUUAUUCUUGCUUGUGUGGGUGGAAUUAGGUCAAAUCCAAGUCCUGGCACCAAAUCUCGAUGAGCGUGCUAGCGGGGCAACGCUUCCGAACGUCCGACGUGCAAACUUGCUCCAAACUUUUUCAAAUUUUUACCAUAGUCUUCCCAUACCAUAUCAAGGCAUGUGGAGAAGUUUCGUGGAUUUCAGAGUUCAUUUGAUUUUUUUUAUAAUUAAAAAACCCCGCGCACGCAAGUUGGAAGCGUUGCCCCGCUAGCAUGCUCAUCGAGAUUUGGUGCCAGGAAUUGGAUUUGACCUAAUUCCACCCACACAAGCAAGAAUAGCAAUGUUGUAACCAUAGGACACUAUUAUUGCAUGCAUUUACAGUUCAAAUCGAAUUCGUCGAAAAAAAUGCAACGAGUCGCAACUAAAUGAAAAAAUAUAGAAAAAAAACUUCAAAAUGCACCAAACGUUGACAAGUUACUAAAUAUAUGGUACUAAACCUCCACAAAAAAUUUGGGAGCAAAACUCAAAAACAAAAGUUUUUGACUUCGCC